AAAAAGACUAUGAUUAGGAAAAGUAUCUUGGAUGACAUUUUUAGAGAGUAGCUGUUUGGUGCAAAGCUAUAAUAAGUCUAGGAGAAAAUCACCUAGGAGUUGGAGACUGAAAAGCUUUAUGCUGAAUAAGUUAUCACGUACAGCCUGCGUUAAAGGAUAGAGUAUGUUAGUACUUGAAUUUAAACAUUUAAUUUUUUGUUUAAAUGUUUAGCCUUAGGUGGUUUGCGAAUUCAACUUCGUCCUUUAG
rnacentral:ncRNA from 1 species